ensembl:lncRNA
CCUGCCCCGGGCCCAUCUCCGUACAGUGUCAGAAAAAUAAAUAAAAGGAAAGAGGAGCCUGGGCAGGCGGUCGGGAUCGCUUCCCUCCCUCCGCACCCGCCCUCCCUCUGUCCUUAAGGAAAUGCUACCAGACACCCCCCACCAGACACGCUCAGCCUUGGCGAGGAGCGGCCGCCGCGGCAGCGAGAACAAGGGCACCAGGGGGGUUUCCUCCCCCUCCUCCUCUCCCUCCUCUUCCUCCUCCUUCUCUCCGUCCUCCUCCUCCUCCUCCUUCUCAGCGGUGACUUUCCAGGUGGAGUCUUUGGAUUUUUUAAAAGACAACAGUAAUUGGAUCUACUUGAAAAAUUAAGUGAAUUGAUUUGUUUGGAACACUCUUUGACCAAUUCUUUAACGUUUAGCCACUGGGAAGCGACAAGACAAUCAUGCCCAUGAGAACUCUAAACCAUUCAGACCAUUUUGUCUUAGUGAAACUGACGGUUGAACUUUGCUCUAGUUGAUGGGCAAAAUUUCUCCUAGACUAUUCAUCAUCCCAAUUUCAUCCUAGUUGAAAAUAUUCAAAUGCCAUAAGAAAUCUUUAUAGAUUUGCACUUAGCUUUUGGAUGGACAUUUCUACAAUGGAGAGAACUGUGUUAUAG